AUUGAACGCUGGCGGCAUGCCUUACACAUGCAAGUCGAACGGCAGCACGGGAGCAAUCCUGGUGGCGAGUGGCGAACGGGUGAGUAAUAUAUCGGAACGUGCCCGGUCGUGGGGAUAACGUAGCGAAAGCUACGCUAAUACCGCAUACGAUCUACGGAUGAAAGCGGGGGAUCGCAAGACCUCGCGCGAUUGGAGCGGCCGAUAUCAGAUUAGGUAGUUGGUGAGGUAAAGGCUCACCAAGCCGACGAUCUGUAGCUGGUCUGAGAGGACGACCAGCCACACUGGGACUGAGACACGGCCCAGACUCCUACGGGAGGCAGCAGUGGGGAAUUUUUGGGACAAUGGGCGCAAGCCUGAUCCAGCAAUGCCGCGUGCAGGAUGAAGGCCUUCGGUU
rnacentral:rRNA from 1 species